GACGAACGCUGGCGGCGUGCUUAACACAUGCAAGUCGAACGCUGAAGCUCAGCUUUUGUUGGGUGGAUGAGUGGCGAACGGGUGAGUAACACGUGAGUAACCUGCCCCCUUCUUUGGGAUAACGCCCGGAAACGGGUGCUAAUACUGGAUAUUCACUGGUCUUCGCAUGGGGGUUGGUGGAAAGGGUUUUUCUGGUGGGGGAUGGGCUCGCGGCCUAUCAGCUUGUUGGUGGGGUGAUGGCCUACCAAGGCUUUGACGGGUAGCCGGCCUGAGAGGGUGACCGGUCACAUUGGGACUGAGAUACGGCCCAGACUACUACGGGAGGCAGCAGGGGGGAAUAUUGCACAAUGGGCGGAAGCCUGAUGCAGCGACGCCGCGUGAGGGAUGGAGGCCUUCGGGUUGGGAACCUCUUUCGCUAAUGGUCAAGCCGCAACAAUGGUUGUGGUGAGGGUAGUGGGUAAAGAAGCGCCGGCUAACUACGUG
rnacentral:rRNA from 1 species